AGCGAACGCUGGCGGCAUGCCUAACACAUGCAAGUCUGACGGGCCUGGGGCUUGCUCCGGGUCAGUGGCGGACGGGUGAGGAACGCGUAGGAACGUAUCCAAGGGUGGGGGAUAACCGCGGGAAACUGCGGCUAAUACCGCAUGGGGCCUCAAGGGAGACCUGGGGGCCAAAGGCUGAGGGAAACCUUGGUCGCCGAUGGAGCGGCCUGCGUCCGAUUAGCUAGUUGGUGGGGUGACGGCUUACCAAGGCUACGAUCGGUAGCUGGUCUGAGAGGAUGAUCAGCCACACUGGGACUGAGACACGGCCCAGACUCCUACGGGAGGCAGCAGUGGGGAGUAUUGGACAAUGGGCGAAAGCCUGAUCCAGCAAUGCCGCGUGGGU
rnacentral:rRNA from 1 species